GUUGUUUGUCGAGCUGUGGGUAAAGAAGAAAGAGAUAAAGUCUCAGAUUUUCACUUCGACAUCUUUUAUUUCUUGCAUUUUGUUCUUUUUUACACAGCAACACAUAGUUUGGUUUCAAUUUUUAGCUCUGAUUGAAUUUCUGUUCUGUGUUUGCGGCUAUUUGGUUGAAAUAAAGCCAGAAUGUUUAUUUUUCAAACCACAGACCUGCAGCUGAAUGAGCGUUUUCCUCAUUACCUGAGCCACAGGGUUUCUCUUUCUCCCCUUUUCUCUUUUUAGACUUGUCACAGCUGUCGUCUUUUAUUCUGCGUCUCACCUCUUUGCCUUCAGCAGCGUUGCCUUUUUUUCCCCCCUUUGUUGACAGAGGAGAAGGAGUCAUGAAAUGAGUCUUUGAACGUCACGUUUAAGGUAAAAAGGAUCUGUGUUGUCACUCGCUCUGUCCUGCAGCUGACAGAGCAGAGGAUCGUGUUUGCAGUUACGCUGAUAUUUACAGAUGCCUGUUUGUUUCUGACUGUAUGACCCUGAUUUAAUAUUACGUUUAUAUGUCUUUAGUCUUUCACAAGGAACGUUUCACUUCAAAGUUUGUGUCGGAGGAGUAGUUGUGGCUGUUUGAGCUGCAAAAUCAUCUGAAUAAUCUGAUGUACAGUGGCCCUGAAGGUCAAUGGUACAGAUAUUAAAAGUUAGGAAAUAAAUGGAUAUCUGAAAAAGAAAAAAAAAUUUUCAGAAACGCACAAAAAUGUUUCACAUGAACAUAGAAUAUUUUUUGAAAACUGAAAUAAAUUCAAAUACAUAAUAAAUAUUUUGUAAAAUAUUUUUAAAAACCCGCAACUAUUUUAGAAAAAAUACAAAUUUUAAUAUAACAAUUGAAUUUUUUUUUCAUUUCAAAAUUAAUAACUUUCAUUUGCAUUUUUUUGUUUCUUCAAAAUUGAUGCAUGUGUCUAAAAACAUUUUGUAUUCAAAAUGUAUUUGCAUUUCCCAAAUAUUCCAUUAUUUUUCAAGAUUUAAGUAAACUGUCAUAAUAUUUUUUUGUUUUCAUAUUUUGUCUGCUUGUCUUCGAGGCUUUUGUGGUUUUCAAAUUUACAGGUUUGCCAAAAUAUUUAUUUGAGUUUCCAAAAAGUUUGAAUCUGAAUUUUCACUUUUGUAUUUUAUAAAUUCUAUUUAUGUUUUCUAAAAUGUAUUUAAUUUAAUUUAAAAUUUAAAGAUUAAUUUAAAAAUGUACGUCCGUGUCAUGUUUUUAUGUGUUUGUGUGUGUUUUUUUUUUUUUUUUCAUGUUUUUUAGGGUAAAUGUUAAUUUUCUUGCAUUGAAUGAAAUGUAUAUGUGUUUUCUGAGCUAUUUAUUUAUCUAAAUUAUUUAUCUAUAUUUGCUUCAUUGACCCUCACUGACAUAAUAUCAAUGGUUUCGGGGUCCUUUUUUGAUGUUAUGAUGCUCGAAAAAUCUGUGACACGUCACGAACUGUAUGCAGGCCAGUUUAGCAGCAGGACUCUUCCACUACAGAGCCAUUCUGUUGUAAUACCUGCAGACUGUGGUGUGUCAUUUUUCUGCUGAAAUGAAGGUCUUUCUGACAAAGUCAGUGUCUGGAUGGCAGAAUAUGUUUCUUUUAAAUCAUCAUUAAAGUAUGAUGCUUGAUGAAUUGUCCUCUGACGGCAAAAACAGCACUGAAUUUGGGGUCUAAGUCGUAAAAGAAAACAUGCCCCUGAAGAAGCUGCUGUAUUUGGCAGAUUUGAGGAGCUGGGGUACACAGAGGUGUUGUAUGUGUUUCUGUUUCUCUCUGUCAAACAGGUGUCAGACAUAAAAACAUGAUAUAAAACUGUGACAGUAGAGAACUAAAGCAGAACGACUCUUUCAUCCUUCCUCCUCAUUUCUCUUGUUUUUCAAACUCAGAGCCGAAUCUCUGAGUUCUUUAUUUGUUUUUCACACUUUAAAAUGGUGCGUUUGCAUACUUGUGUGUUUCCAUGGUGACAUCUGUCUAACCAACUCUCCUUAUAGGCAAAAAAGCACAAUCAAUGCCCGCUUUUAGAGCCUUCAUGCACAUAUGAAAGUGUGAGUGUGUGUGUCGGAGUGUGUUUGAUGGUAUUUCGGCGCAUUGCAUCAGAGCUCUACCACACAACGCUCUGAUGGACACUGAGUCCAUGAAAGGACCCGUCUGUCUGCAUCUGUCCGUCACUCAUCGCUGGAUUUGGCCGUUCAAGCUCUUCCAAUAUUCCCAACACCAUCCCUGAUAUUUUCUCGUCCCUCAGCGUCGCCCGUCAGGCUGAAGAUGCAGCUGUCAUUGACCUUUCUUCCUGAGGACAUCCCUGAGACAUGAAACAGGCAUAAAGCUGCAGUCGGAGUGUUUUUAUCACCUGUUUGAGCACACUUUUUACCGUCCUGUUCAGCCAUUAGAGCCCAUUUCUAAGAUGUGGAGCUAAAAUGUUCCUGAGAAAGUGACGCUGAGACCCUCGUAUAGGAGUCAUUUUCUCUGCUGCAGCUGAAGAGAUUUCUGCUUUUGAAGAGUUCAAAGGAACAUUUCAUUCACCUCUCAGAUGAAGUAAGACAGGACACAUGAGAGAUCAUAAAUUCCCAGAGCUGCUUCCAAAAAUAUGGAUAAAUCAAAAAAAAAUGCUCCUCUGUUAAUUUGAAGUCUCACUUUAGAGGAAAAUCUGGGAGGUAAUCUGCGUCUGAUCCCCUGUUGUCGCCAUGUUGUUGCUGGUUUUGUGUGUUUCUUCACUCUUUGUCUUUGUGCCUCCUCCUCUUCCUCUUGAGCUUUUGUCAGGAAUAAAAGUGAAUAAAUAGGCUUCGCCUCCCGCUGGAGUUUAACUGCAGUAGUGCCGCUUUACAGCAGCAGGAAGCCUCCAUGUGACGGCUUUUCAAUCCACUGACUCCUAGUAUUUCUUGACUCUUUGCCCCCCAUUACAUCUAAUUACAGCACGAGUUUGAAUGCAACGAGAGUGCGUCAUUAUUGCGUCAUGAGCUCUUUUUACUACAGGUGUGUUGCUGAUGGAUUGUACUCAGCUCCCUAAAUCACUGUUUCUUUCACUCUGAAAACUUCAGUGUUUUUCUGACAGAGAGAACUCUGAAUUGAUUCAUAUGCAAAUAUAACAGACUGUGGUAAAAACUGGACUCUGAUUGGUCAAAAUGUCAUAUCACCGAUUCUUUUCCUCAACAACUAAAGUGAAAAAAAGACAGGCACAACCCAACUAAGCCUAGAGGCCAAAUAUUACUGACAGGGCCUGGACCUGCCCCUCAAAGACUAGAGAUAUGACUUGGGUUUACCCUUCAGAGUCCAGUGGUUUGACUUAUACGUGUGGCCAGAGACUUAAAACUUCCCUUGGACAACCCCUUAGAAAUAGGAAACUUGAUGGAGAUUUGCUUCUCAAAGACUUGAGACUUGAUUGAGCCCAGUUGCCAAAGAUGUGUGACAGAACCUAGACUUGCCCCUAAACACUUGAGGCUUAAGUAUUGACUUGGACUUGUGAUCAAUGAUUUGAGGCCUGACCAGGACUUGUUUCUAGAGGCAUGACUUUGAUUUUUCCCUCAGAGACUCUAGACUGACUUGACUCUAGACUGACUUGGACUUGACUAAACUAGAGGCCAAGGAUGUAGAACUUGGACUUGCUCUUCAGAGACUUGAGUCUCAACUAAAAGUUCCCCCUCAGAAAUUUGGGUCUUAAGUUGGACUUGUCCUUCUGGGUCUUAAAACUUGGCCUGGACUUGCCCUUCGAAGAGUUGAAACUUGACUUGCCCAGUAAAUACAUGGGACAUGACUUAGGUUUGCCUCUCAUAGACUUGAGCCUGUGCUUUGAUUUGUGGAUUAGAGACUUGGGAUUAAGACUUGAAACUGGACUGAGACUUGCCCAUCAGAGACUUAUGACUCCACUUGGGUUCCCCCCAUAGACAUCUGUGACUAGACCAAAGCUUGUGGUCAUGGACUUCAGACUAUGCUUGGAUUUCCCUCUCUAAGACUUAAGAACCAGUUUACACUUGCCUUUAAAAUCCUCGAGUCUUGACCUGAACUUGAACUUCAGAAGGUUAAGGGCCUGAUCUACUAAGAUCCAAAAUAGCGAGCACUAAUUUGCGUGUGCAAACUAAAAAAUUGCACAUGCUAUUAGUCAGCGUUUUGUGGGUAAAUCUACUAUCAUUGCGUGUGCAAUUGAUACAUGGCGCAAAUGUGGUGCGGACCACCCUCUUUAAACAGGGAUGUUGUGUGCGCUGUCGGCUGUCACCAUGGAGAGUUUGUGAGAGCAGAGUGAUUGUAGAUGAAAAACGAAGUUUGAAGCCAUGGAGUUGCACAAAACGCUUUGGGGAACUGUAUAAAAGGCAAGGCAAGUUUAUAUAGCACCAUUCAUACACAAGGCAAUUCAAAGUGCUUUACAGAUGCAAGAAGAUAUACUAGAAAUCAAAAAAGUGAUUAAAACAAUUUAAAAUCAAUAAGACAAACAGAUUCAUGUUUUGGCAUGGCAUGGCACUUUUGCAUCCUUGACUCUAAGAAACUUGAAAUUUACCCUGAACUUGUGGCAAAGGAACUGAGACUUGCCAAAAAUUUGGGACUAGGCUUGGUCUUGGUACUUACAGAUUUCAGUCUGGACUUGAACUUGAGGCUAAAGACUUAGGACUCAAAUGUACUUGACCCUUAGGUACUCUGGUCUUGUCUAAGACUUGCCCCUUGGAUACAUGAGACUUGUACUUGUGACUCAUGGACUUGAGUCUUCAAUAGGUCUUGUGGUCAAAGACUUGAAAAUUAAACAGGACUGAGAGACCCCUGACAGCAACUUUAAAUUUUUCACCUCUGCAACGUUCAGAAUUUUUAUAUCAUGAUUUUCACUCCCAUCACAGCUGAGGUGCUUAAGGAGUUGACAGAUUUUCAUGGGGGCAAGACUCUUGCUGUACAGAGGUAAAUGCUGAGCGGCAGGAUUGCAGACAACCUACACAAAAUAUCCAUCUGCUGCGAGCCUGGCCCAGAAAAUCCUGCAUGUCUUUUAAAUAUAUUUUCUACAAUAGCCACAAGUGACACACAGCAAAUGCUUACAUAAACGUGUGCAUGGACAGACCUAUCACAUUAGUCAGGCUGGUGUCAGCAGACCUACUACCAUUAUUACUUGACAAACUUUUCCAAAAGUUAGUCACGCUUAGUCCCCUGUGGCUAAUAUCUACAAGUACCUCUUAGAACCACUCUGUAAAAACCUGAAUCAUCCCUGUUAGGGAGCUGCGUCCCCUUUAAAGAGAAAAUCUAUUAUCGGAGAUUUCCUGUUUCACAUUAAAAGCCUUCAAGCACUUCAGGAGGACAGAAUCCAUCUCUCCCCUUAGAGGCCUUCAUUGUAAAUCAUGCGCAGGAAGUGUUGACUUUCAUGAAGAGAUACUGAACUGCAGGAUGGCAGAGGGAAUCGAUUAAAUAUUUAUUUCUUUGCUAUUUUAUUCAUUUUUAUUUUUAUUAUGUAUUCUUUGAGACUCUGCUUCUUGCCACAGUGCACAUGUGCAUAUUUAUCUGAAAGGAUUUGCAUCUAAAUAUGGCACCGCUGCUUUUAAACAUGUGACGACACGCCUGCUUUCGCGACACUAAUCUCAACACUUGUGAAUGUUCUGCAGUAGUUUUCUGCUUCCUCUCACUCUCUCUGUCUCUCUUUCUCUCUCUCCUUCUUAGUUUCUUAAUAAACUGAACUGAAGUGAUAUUUAUACCCGCAGCCAGACACUUCAUUAGAUCUUAGAGCUGUCACCGAGGCUCACCUACACACACAAACACACGUUUUCAGGGUUUUAAUGUGAAUGCAGAUGGGGCGGAGGGCUGUCACAGCCAACAAUGAGACAAACAAGACAGAUAGAGAGCAGAAUCGCCUGAAGGAGAGAGAGACAGGAGGGAGUACAGCAGAGAAAUCACAGCUGAAAACUCGUCAUUUCUCAUGUGAAUGACACACCGUCUCCAUUUGUCUCAUCUCCCUCCUCUCAUUUCAUUCCUUCCUCUGCUCCUCCUCCUCCUCAUCUUCAUUUUAUCUUCAUUAUUACGAGUCUGUGUGAGUGUGUGUUUACGUGGGAAGUCUGACAGAUUGGUGUCAGUUCUGCUCGGCUGAGACACUUUCUACUUUAAACUCAUCCUGCAUCGUCCUCUGAUGUAAAUUUCUACAAUACAAAUCUCAACAACGCCUUCUCUGAUUUGUUUCUGUGCCCGAUAGCAGCCCCACAAAUCCCCAAAUUCUCUGUUGCUGGAUGUUGUUACCUUCAAAAGCGGGUUGGGGAAGUAUGGUGAAAGUGACAGCCUCAGUUUGUAUAAAUUUCUCAGGAGGGAUCAGUCUAAAGCUUGAAACACAAAGAGAAGGUGAGUACAGGUUCAUAUAAUCCAAGGUGACUGCAUAUUUAAAAUGGGGCAUCUUUAUUUUUAACUCUAGCUGCUGUAUUUGCAUAUUUUAAUGCCAAAAUGACAGAAAGGCACACGUUUUUGCAGUGAAAUCCUCUUUUGGGACUUCAUGAGAUCUAACCACAUCCAUCAAAGUUCUUGGUUUUGCCACGGACAGGCUCAGAUUUGGUAAAGAAAUUAAAAACCCCAACAAUGAUGGACCUUUUUUCAAGUAAUUAGAUUUACUUUCUAUAUCUGGACUCACACUUCUGUCAAAACUUUUCAUUAAAUUGUUGGCCAGUUGAUUAACUGCUGCAUUGGAGAUUCAAAACAUCUACAAU